AGAGACAGCAGUAGCCACGGUAAUACGUAGGUCCCGAGCGUUGUCCGGAUUUAUUGGGCGUAAAGCGAGCGCAGGCGGCUUGAUAAGUCUGAAGUUAAAGGCUGUGGCUCAACCAUAGUUCGCUUUGGAAACUGUCAAACUUGAGUGCAGAAGGGGAGAGUGGAAUUCCAUGUGUAGCGGUGAAAUGCGUAGAUAUAUGGAGGAACACCGGUGGCGAAAGCGGCUCUCUGGUCUGUAACUGACGCUGAGGCUCGAAAGCGUGGGGAGCGAACAGGAUUAGAUACCCCAGUAGUCCCUGUCUCUUAUACA
rnacentral:rRNA from 1 species